rnacentral:lncRNA from 1 species
AUUCGUCGAUUUAAGUAUUUAUACAUAGUGUAACACAUUAUGUAAUAAAUGUAAAAAUUAUGUAAGUAGAUAAUUCGUGUUAAUUUGUCUAUGGGAAACAUUAUAUUAUAUGUAUAUACUAUAUAGUAAUGCGAUGUAUAAAUUCGAUAAAUAAUAAAUAUAAUAUAUAAUAAGUAGGUAGGUAUAGGUAUAUCGUUAAACACAUAUCACAAGGAAGGUUAGUAUAUUGGCUAAUUUUAUCUAGUCGUUAGAUAAUUAGGUAGUUUUUGCUCUUAUUUCCUACUACAAUAAUAGGUACUCCCAUAUUUACAUCUGUGCUCAGAAGUUGAGUUAGUGAUAUUAUGAUGAUAUUAAUACAUUAUUGUUUGCUAUUUUAGGUGUCAAAUGUUAGUAUAGUUACUAUCGUUAGUUUUAGUUGAACGUGUGUAUAUAUAAUAUAAUAUGGAUUUAAACUAGAUGUUGUUUUGGACAUUGAAUUAUUAGAACUUAAAAUAUAGCAAAGGAAAUCCUUAGGCGACAUAAUAACUGUGUCAAUUAACUAUUAAGUACCUACCUAUACCGGAUCUAUAAUACGAUAUAAUAUACCUAUGACAAGUUCAUUAUUUUCUAAAGUUUUUUAACCAGAUACCAAAGGCCAAUGGAUAUACACUACACACACUAAUAUAGUGAUGAUAUAUUAUGUAUAAAUACAUUUUAUAUAACUAUAAUAUAUUUAUUUAAUAUUUAUAAUAUAUGCCUAAUAUUAAUAUAUAAAUGGUAUAAAGGUACAUCAAUUUGACUUAAUUAUUGUCUCUAAUAGCUCCAUUUAAUCAGUAUAUACCUACUAUCUUUUGAAAACGUCAAUCAUUUUAGUUGAUGUUAUUCGUGUAUAUUUUUAAUGACAAUGAUGCCCAUUCAGUUUUAUUCGGAUAAACUUGUAUGAUAUUAUAAAAUUAGAAAUCAUACAUACAUUCUGACGCCAUUGGCAUUCAGCUGACUUUUGGAAAAGAAAAAUAAAUCUUCUGUGAUGAUGAAAUCAUCUAUAAUUGUACCUAUAUAAUAUUUAAUACAGCAAUAGUUGAGACACGAUAGGUGUCAAAGAUUGAAGCACUUAUAAGUAUAUAUACAUACAAAACUGGACAUAUGGCGUUCAAAUACCAAGAUCUACAAAAAAAUCAAAUUUAACAAAAUUCCAAUAAUAAGUAAUAAAACGAAAUAAAUUUAUCUUUUUAAUAACAAUUGACAAACGUGCCUUUUCAAAUUAAACCGAAUAUUCUGAAGUAAAAAUAUAAACAGUACCUAAUAGAAACUGCAAAUCGUAUUCUCAUAAACUAUAAAUAUUUUUUCUGAUUACCCAGAUAUUGUUAAAAAAAUGUAUCAAAACUAGUGCCCAAAAAUCCAAGGAAAUGUUAAUAGAUUGAAAAAAAUGGUGUUGCAAUAUAAUGCACAUAAUCCUUUCUACAUUAAAAACCAGAUGUGUACUGUAGUACCUAUGUAGUUGCUAGCUUCUAUAAGAAAGUUGUUAAAUAUUUUAAAAAUAAAAUUGUAAUGUUCUUUAUUUACACUAUUAUUACACUAAAUUUGAACAGAUUAUAAAAAAAUCAAAGCAAGCCUUACUUCACUUUUUUUAUUACCUACUCCGCAUUAUUCUUCGUUGCAUGAAAAGACGAUGAAGAAAAGAUUUGAUCACAAACAUUUUCUUUUGAAUAAAUUGUAAGGAAAUAAUUAUGAUCAUACAUUUAUAUUUACGCAUUCACCAUGGUAAUGGGUGAUAAAAGUAUAUAACCAUACCUAAUGUCGACAAACAAUGAUAUUUUAUCUUCAAUUGUAACAAAAAAAAAAAACGAAUUUCAGAUGGACUCCGCCAGCCAAAAGACACGGAUCUAUACAGAAAUCUCAUAACACUGAAGCACGAACAAUUUUCAACUAGGACAAGAACUAUCAAUAAAGAAAAUACCUUAAAAAAAUACUUGGAAUAUUUACUAGUCUCUGAGAUCUCUUCUAGACCGGUAUUUGUCUAAGAAAGUUAAUUGUACCGGAGCUAAAUGUACAAAUACCAAUAAUUCGGAAUUCCCGGCUACCGACAUCGUAUAGUAUUCAACCAUACAACCAAUCGUCGUUGAGACGAAAAAAUCUUAAAAACACGAAAAAAAUUUACAAUUUUGAGAUAUUCAUAUUCCUGGAUUCAGAAAAAAAUAAGCUAUUUAUGGAUAAAUUCUCCUAUGUGCUAUCUACAUUGUAGAAGUAAUUCAAAAUAAUAAAUAAAUUCUCAUAUGUGUUACCUAUACAA